CCAGACUUUGCCCCAGGAACAUCUCAGAAUGUGUUUGUAGAGGUCCCAGCCAACAGGUGCUGCCUGGUACCUGUGAGUGGCUUUGUGAUUGCAGUGACACAUUCAGAUCUCUGACCACUUGAUGGAGCUGCAAUGAAGAAUGUGAAAGAGCAAAACUGCAGGCAAAGCAGAAGUCUGAGCAAAGUGCUGGGCUGAGACUCACAAGAAUUGAUGCCGAGCACUCAGCACAGGCAACCAGCUGGCAGAAGCCUGGUGUACAGGAGACUGGAGAGCACCUCUGCACACCAGCAUCCUUGUGGUUCUGGAGAACAGCCUGUACCUUGGGUGAGACACUGCAGCCAGAGACCAGGAGGUCACAGACAUCCUCCAGUGAGUCAGAAAGGGUGGCAGAGGAUCAAGAACUGAACUCCUGUGUGUGCUGAGACUGUGUUUAGUCUGCCUGAUUCAGGUACCAUUCACCAUGUGUUCUUCUCAUGUGGCUGGAGACUGCAACAUAAAAUGUUAUUGUGGCAUUUAAAGGCAUGAAACCCGUGGUAAAAUUGAGUGGGAUGAACUUUAACACUAAGUUUGGGACACUUCAUUGAUCUUUCAACAUGGAAUUAACAGGGAAUAUAUUUCUUUACAAAGGCUUGUCUCUGGAGACUGUGGCUGUGGAAGACUAGUUAAAUUAAUGGAGGGCAGGAUAUAAAUCCAUUGAUUAAUUGUUUUUG
rnacentral:lncRNA from 1 species